UAUAGAUCGUUGAGUGCCGGUGCAACGGUGUAUUUAUUCGGUGAAAAUGAGUUCGGAGUCGCAGGAAAACUUGUUGGAGAAGAUUGAGGAGAGUUACGGUACUGAAUCGAUGCGUAAAGAUCCAGUGGAGAGACCGCUCUCUGAAAUUGAGAAGGCUUUUCUGCUCUACGCGGAAAGAGGUGAUUGUGCAACGGUGAAAAGAAUUAUCGAUCAGUACAAAACUCGUCCUGAAGAGUUUGAUAUAAACUGUGUCGAUCCGCUUACCAGAUCUGCUCUUAUAUCUGCGAUAGAAAAUGAGAAUAUCGAGUUGAUUAAAUUGCUUUUGCAGGAAGGAAUCCAAGUCAAAGAUGCCUUGCUACAUGCGAUUAAAGAAGAAUACGUUGAAGGUGUUGAAGUACUGUUGAAUUGGGAGGAAAAAUGCCAUAAAGAGGAUGAACCUUAUAGCUGGGAACGAGUUGACAAGUCUGGAGCAUCGUUUACAACUGAUAUUACACCACUUAUUUUGGCCGCUCAUAAAAAUAAUUAUGAAAUAAUCAAGCUUCUGUUAGACAGGGGUGCGACAUUGCCGAUGCCUCAUGAUGUCCGAUGUGGUUGUGAUGACUGUGUAUUCUCAACUAAAACAGAUUCACUGAGGCAUUCUCAAUCCAGAAUAAACGCCUAUAGAGCUUUAUCAUCUCCAUCAUUAAUAUCUUUAUCGUCCAGCGAUCCAUUGUUAACUGCUUUCGAGUUAUCAUGGGAUUUGAGAAGAUUGAGCCGAAUGGAGAAUGAAUUUAGAUCAGAUUACGACGAAAUGAGAGCACAAGUACAAAACUUCGCUACAUCCUUGUUGGACUACGUGAGAACAUCUCAAGAACUGGAAAUAAUAUUAAAUUAUAAUCCACAGGGUGAAGUAUGGUCUAUCGGCGAAAGACAAACAUUGGAAAGACUGAAAUUGGCUAUAAAAUAUAAACAGAAAAAGUUUAUAGCUCAUCCGAACGUUCAGCAACUGUUAGCAUCGAUUUGGUACGAAGGAUUGCCAGGAUUCAGGAGAAAAAGCUUAGUGGGACAAUCCAUCCAAGUAGCCAAACUUGGAAUGAUGUUUCCAGCUUAUUGUGGGGCCUACAUGAUGGCUCCAAACUCAACGAUGGGUCAAUUCCUGAAGAAACCAUUUGUAAAAUUUAUUAUACACUCUGCGUCGUACGGAUUCUUUCUAUCUCUUUUAGGAGCAGCAUCUCAGAGGGUGGAAAUAGUAGUUCUAGAGUUUUUUGGCUCUCAAUGGAUGCAGGAUAUUAUAGAUGAAUGGGAGAGAAAGGAAAGGGGAGCUUUAUUUGGUUUGGCUGAAUGCGGAGUCAUUCUGUAUGUAGUAAGUUUAAUAUGGGCAGAAAUUAAAUCCCUAUGGAAUGACGGCCUUAUGGAAUAUAUAUCAGACUUAUGGAACAUAGUUGAUUUUAUUACAAAUAUGAUGUACGUUUUUUGGCUGGUUCUACGCCUAACAUCUUGGUACAUAUGUUGGAGGGAUGAUUCUUUGGGCAAGACAACAUGGUACCCAAGAGAACAAUGGGAUACUUUUGAACCUAUGCUGUUAUCUGAAGGUGCUUUUGCAGCGGGAAUGAUAUUUAGCUUCUUGAAGUUGGUACACAUAUUCAGCGUCAAUCCGCAUUUGGGUCCUCUACAAAUAUCCCUGGGCAGGAUGAUUAUUGACAUUGUAAAGUUCUUCUUUAUUUACACGCUUGUACUAUUUGCCUUCGGUUGCGGUUUGAACCAGCUUCUAUGGUAUUAUGCAGAAUUGGAAAAAAAUAAAUGCUAUCAUUUCCAAAACGGAUUGCCGGACUUCGAAAAUAAUGACAAAGCUUGUACUAUAUGGAGACGAUACGCUAAUUUAUUUGAGACUUCUCAAUCACUGUUUUGGGCAAGUUUCGGAUUGGUUGACCUGAUGUGUUUUGAACUGACUGGAAUCAAAGGCUUUACAAGGUUUUGGGCCUUGUUAAUGUUCGGAUCGUACUCCGUCAUCAAUGUAAUCGUUUUGCUCAAUAUGCUGAUCGCCAUGAUGUCCAAUUCGUACCAAAUAAUUUCCGAAAGAUCUGAUACGGAAUGGAAGUUCGCCAGAAGUCGCUUGUGGAUCAGCUAUUUUGAUGACGGUGAUACUUUACCGGCGCCUUUCAAUAUUAUGCCUCAACCGAAAGUUAUGCUUAGAGCAAUGGGUUGCAAUAAAUCUGACCGAAGUUCUGCCAGCUUUAAGUCAAAGUCUAAAGAAUUUGCUAGAGAAAGAUACGAAUCUGUGAUGAAGUUGCUCGUGCGAAGAUACGUAACUGCGGAGCAGAGAAAGAGGGAUGUCUUUGGUAUUACCGCUGACGAUGUCAUGGAAAUAAGACAGGAUAUAUCUUCUUUACGUUACGAACUCAUAGAUAUUUUGAGAAAAAAUGGAAUGCAGACGCCAACAAUCAGUUUAGAAGAGACACAAAUAUCUGGCAAAAAGGGAAAAGCCAUGGAACGUCGUAUCCUCAAUGACUUCCACAUAGGAAUUAAAGAAGGCCUGGUCAACGAAAUCCAGAUGAACCUGAAAGAACCGAAAAACGUGUUUUCCGAAAUAGCGAGGGCGCUGAAGAAGCGAAGCAGCAUGAAGUCCAGCAAGAAAAAUUGGAACGAACUGGUGAAGAAGAACAAGAGCAAUCCAAUUGGUUCUGCGCAAGAAGCUGAACAGCUGAGGCAAAGGAGACAGAGUUUGAGACAGUACAUCAUGUCUACGGCUAAUAAAGUUGGACCUGUUGAAGAUGAUCAUAAAUUAAUAGAAUACAAUCCAAAAUUAGGAGCUUUGCCUAAAGGUGCCAGGUUAGCCUAUGUCAAAUUUAUGUCGAAGAAAAUAGAAGAAGAAAUUAAAAAUGAAGAGCUUACAUCAGAAGAAGAUAAAUCAAAAGGAUCCACUUCCGUUAUGCCUAAACGGAUUAGUAUCAGCAGCAAGAGCGCCGCGAGUUUGAAAAAAGCUCCCAAGCCGCCAUCUCCAGGCGAAAAUACCGCAUCUGAGGUAAGUAUACUAAGAAUUUUUUGAAGAGGCACCUCAGGGAAUUAAGUAAUCUAGAAGAAAUUUCUCAUUAAUCUGGCAAGAUCCAGCCCGGAAACAAUUUUUUUGAACAAGGGAACCUAAGAGUACACCUGACUCAUCUACUUCUACCACUCAACUACAAACUGAGAAAAAACCAGAAGUAAAACACUCAACUACAACUAC
rnacentral:misc_RNA from 1 species